rnacentral:rRNA from 1 species
AUAUCGCGAGGUGCCAGCAGCCGCGGUAAUACGUAGGGGGCAAGCGUUAUCCGGAUUUACUGGGUGUAAAGGGAGCGUAAGACGGCGAAGCAAGUCUGAAGUGAAAGCCCGGGGCUCAACCCCGGAAUGCUUUGGAAACUGUUUUGCUGGAGUGCAGGAGAGGCAAGCGGAAUUCCUAGUGUAGCGGUGAAAUGCGUAGUAUAUUAAGGAGGAACACCAGUGGCGAAGGCGGCUUGCUGG